GUCAGAGUAAUUUGUUGAUAUUUAUUUAUUUACAGCAUUUAUAUUCCGCCCUUCUUUCUCACCCCGAAGGGGACUCAGGGCGGAUCACAUGACACAUAUAGGCAAACAUUCAAUGCCUUUUAACCUAGAACAAAGACAAACAAACAGGCUCCGAGCGGGCCUCGAACUCGUGACCUCCUGGUCAGAGUGAUUCAUUGCAGUUAAUUGCAGCUGGCUUGCUUUCCAGCCUGCGCUGUUGGAUAAUAAGGAGGCAUUAUGGAAAAGCCUAUUAAACAUCAAAUUAGUUGAUGAUUUUACAAAUUAAGCACCAAAACAUCAUUUGACAGAAAAAGUAGUUCAAUACGCAGUAAUGCUAUGUAGUAAUUACUGUAUUUACGGAUUUAGCACCAAAAUAUCACAACGCAUUGAAAACAUGGACUACAAAAAUGCGUUGGAUAAUCCAGAAUGUUGGAUAAUCCAGAAUGUUGGAUGAGACUACUGUAUAUACAAUAUAAAUUAGAAUAGCAUGUUAUUGGGGGAGGAGCAUCUUGGUUAUUAGAUGUUUAUAUUAGUUAUUGAUAUUAGUAUAGAUAUGACAUUGAGUAUAUUAUUAUCCUAGCACAAUGUUAAUAUUAGUUAUUCAUAUUAGUCUCAAUAUGACAUUAAUAGAGUAUAUUAUUAUCCUAGCACAAUGUUAUUACAUAGGACUAUGUUGUUGCUAGGGGGAGGGCCCUCCCACUGAGAUCCCCUGUCAUUAAUGUGUCAGACCAGGCAUUUCACUCCUAUCUUUGCAUCAGAAAGCAGGCUCCCUGUGCGCUAGGCCUUCCUUUGAGGAACACAUUCACGGCUCCGCUUGAGUGUGGCAUUGAGGCCCCACUCGGGGACGGGCGGGUCCUCCCUUUGCCCUGGGCAGAUCGUGGGGGGUGGGCGGAUCUCCCUAGACGGGCAGGGGGUCGCGGCUGGCGGGACAGCGGGAUAUAAAAAUAUAAAUAUAUAUAUUAAAACCCUUGCACCCAAGGAAACAACUCUGGGGACCCGAGUGGCCGCUCCCAGCGCACGUCACGGGCAUUUUAAACAUCUCGUAGCAGCUCAGAUUAAUACCUGAACUAACCUUAACCUGCUAACCCUACUAACCCAAUUCUUAACUAGAGCAGCACUUGUAAAUAGGGCUGUUUUUGCCUGUUGGCAAGAACCAAGUUGGGAGGGGGCCUCCGGGCCUCGGGUGGGAAGAAGGCCCCCCUGUCCCUGCCCUGCGCUGGGAGCGCCCCCCCUCGGGACCCCAGUGUUUAGGUCGCCGGAUUGGAGGAGAGCGGGGACCAGAAAGCCCCUCCGCCAUCCGCCCAGGGCCAAUGGACGCCCCUCCCUCCCUCCCCGGCAGCCGCGUUCCUCAUGCAACAGGGAGCCUGGUUCUGGAUGCAAACGUGGGACCCCCUUAGGACCCCCUUUUCUCUGUGCAGGGACCCCCACUCCCCAUAAAUAAAUGCCUGGUGGAAGGGGAUCCUCUGUCCUGGGGAGAAAAAGCGACAUGCGUCAAGCUGUGGCUUUGCUCCCGCAGUUCCCAAGAGCCCCCAAAAGCGAGAUGCUCCCUUGGUUCUGCCCUUCUGACACUUGUUUUCUCCCUUGUUCCAUGUCUCCGGAAUCGCUGAGGGAGGGGCUCCUCCUGGACAAGAGCCACGGACGGACAGACGGACGGACGGAGAUCACGGAGAGCAGGACGCCUUGCCUUUCCGGAUGCUGAGCUCGACCCCUUUCCAACAAUGUCAGCGUUUAAGAAUAAAACUUCCCAAAAAAAGGUGUUUUCUGGUUAUUAUUCAAACAUUGAAUUUUUGGCAGCCUUAAACAUCUAGAUUACAAUACAGUUUGUGCUGCUGCAUUUUACAAACCUGACCUUGUUUUCUACAAAUAAAAUUGAGAGAAACACCUGUGUAAGUUUUGCACUAGGCUCAGACUCAUUGUUCUGAUAGGCUGUUAUAUGGUUAUUGAAAGGCAUAAUGUUUUUGGCAGCAUUAAACAUCUAGAUUACAAUACAGUUUGUGCUGCUGCCUUUUAUAAACCUCGUUUUCUACAAAUAAAGUCAAGAGAAACACUAAGUUUUGCACUGUGCUCAGACUCAUUGUUCUGAUAGGCUGUUAUAUGGUUAUUAUUGAAAGGCAUAAUGAGUUUUUGGCAGCAUGAAACAUAUAGAUUACAAUACACUUUGUGCUGCUGCCUUUUAUAAAUCUUUUUUUAUACAAAUAAAGUUGAGAGAAACACCUGUAUAAGUUUUGCACUCAUUGUUCUGAUAUUCUGUUAUAUGGUUUUAUUGUUAAUAUUGUUUUUAAUGUAUGACUUUAUUACAUGUGACAUGGGAGCAGGAUAUAAAAAUGAAGUAUUAUUAAUAAACACUACAAUUUUCUUGCACCCCAAGUACAUCUGGCCAUUGCCAAAAAGUAUUUAACUCUGCCUACAUGGCACUAAAGUGUAUUUUAUAUGUUGAUUUGUUUCUAUUGAUUGUAUGUAAUGUUUGCUUUAUUUGCAUUGAAUUUUUGCCUAGAUGUAUCUUGUAUGCCGCUCAUCUCCAUAAAUGAGCGGGAUACAAAUGAGGUUAAUAAUAAUGUUACGAAUGUUUUAAUGUAACUCGAAUUUUAAAUUGAAUUGAAAUGUGAUUGUAAUUGUUUAUAAGUGUGUUAUCUAUUUGUCAGCCACCCUGAGUCUCCCCUUAUUGGGUGAGAAGGUCUGGGAAGAAAUACUGUCAUAAAUAAAUAAAAUAUUCUGUGUCCAGGUUGCUUCAUGGGUUGACUUCUCUGGCAGGAUUAGUCUGCAGGGCCUUUCCUGUGGGAAAGUUUACACGGACUACCAAGCAUGGAGCAGGGAAGGCACUGCAGACACUCCUGCGCAUGCGCGGCCUGCUCCCUAUUCGUAGGAACCUGGCCCCGCCCACUACAGGCAUUUUCUCUUCGACUGCGCGGCCUCCAUAUUUGAGGGAACUUGACCCCGCCCACUACAGGCACCCCUUUCCCUUCUGCGUCUGCGCGGCCUCUUCCGUAUUUAAGGGAACUUGGCCCCGCCCACUACAGGCCCCCUUUCCCUUCUGCGUCUGCGCGGCCUCCGUCACAGGGCGGCAAGAUGGUUUCCCGGCCCGCAGUGGCCCAUGUACAUGCUGGACUACGGCGGCCUCAAUGUUCCGCUUCCGGGAGCCAUGAAUUAUUCGGACCUCAGUUUCUGAACCAGAACCUCCGAACAAAAGAAAACAAAAGAAAUAAUGAACAGUGUGUAAUUUUCGUUUGUACAAAGUGUAUAUUAUUCCAAUAUGUAUUGAUGCCUUUCAGUUUUUCCAAUGAUUUUUACACUAUAUUCCUGCCGCCAGGGCCUUUUUAAAUAAAAAAAGAAUAAGAAGGGUUGCCUUGCUCUGAAAAAUCAAA